rnacentral:rRNA from 2 species
CUACGGGAGGCACCAGUGGGGAAUCUUAGACAAUGGGCGCAAGCCUGAUCUAGCCAUGCCGCGUGAGUGAUGAAGGCCCUAGGGUCGUAAAGCUCUUUCGCCAGGGAUGAUAAUGACAGUACCUGGUAAAGAAACCCCGGCUAACUCCGUGCCAGCAGCCGCGGUAAUACGGAGGGGGUUAGCGUUGUUCGGAAUUACUGGGCGUAAAGCGCACGUAGGCGGAUUAGUCAGUCAGAGGUGAAAUCCCAGGGCUCAACCCUGGAACUGCCUUUGAUACUCCUAGUCUCGAGUUCGAGAGAGGUGAGUGGAAUUCCGAGUGUAGAGGUGAAAUUCGUAGAUAUUCGGAGGAACACCAGUGGCGAAGGCGGCUCCCUGGCUCGAUACUGACGCUGAGGUGCGAAAGUGUGGGGAGCAAACAGGAUUAGAUACCCUGGUAGUCCACACCGUAAACGAUGAAUGCCAGUCGUCGGGCAGUAUACUGUUCGGUGACACACCUAACGGAUUAAGCAUUCCGCCUGGGGAGUACGGUCGCAAGAUUAACACUCAG